CCUACGGGAGGCAGCAGUGAGGAAUAUUGGUCAAUGGACGAGAGUCUGAACCAGCCAAGUAGCGUGAAGGAUGACUGCCCUAUGGGUUGUAAACUUCUUUUAUAUGGGAAUAAAACGUUCCAAGUGUGGGAUUUUGUAUGUACCAUAUGAAUAAGGAUCGGCUAACUCCGUGCCAGCAGCCGCGGUACUACGGAGGCUCCGAGCGUUAUCCGGAUUUAUUGGGUUUAAAGGGAGCGUAGGUGGAUUGUUAAGUCAGUUGUGAAAGUUUGCGGCUCAACCGUAAAAUUGCAGUUGAAACUGGCAGUCUUGAGUACAGUAGAGGUGAGCGGAAUUCGGGGUGUAGCGGUGAAAUGCUUAGAUAUCACGAAGAACGCCGAUUGCGAAGGCAGUUCACUGGACUGCAACUGACACUGAGGCUCGAAAGUGUGGGUAUCAAACAGGAUUAGAUACCCCAGUAGUC
rnacentral:rRNA from 1 species